GAGGGGGACCUUCGGGCCUCUUGCCAUCGGAUGUGCCCAGAUGGGAUUAGCUAGUAGGUGGGGUAACGGCUCACCUAGGCGACGAUCCCUAGCUGGUCUGAGAGGAUGACCAGCCACACUGGAACUGAGACACGGUCCAGACUCCUACGGGAGGCAGCAGUGGGGAAUAUUGCACAAUGGGCGCAAGCCUGAUGCAGCCAUGCCGCGUGUAUGAAGAAGGCCUUCGGGUUGUAAAGUACUUUCAGCGGGGAGGAAGGGAGUAAAGUUAAUACCUUUGCUCAUUGACGUUACCCGCAGAAGAAGCACCGGCUAACUCCGUGCCAGCAGCCGCGGUAAUACGGAGGGUGCAAGCGUUAAUCGGAAUUACUGGGCGUAAAGCGCACGCAGGCGGUUUGUUAAGUCAGAUGUGAAAUCCCCGGGCUCAACCUGGGAACUGCAUCUGAUACUGGCAAGCUUGAGUCUCGUAGAGGGGGGUAGAAUUCCAGGUGUAGCGGUGAAAUGCGUAGAGAUCUGGAGGAAUACCGGUGGCGAAGGCGGCCCCCUGGACGAAGACUGACGCUCAGGUGCGAAAGCGUGUGGAGCAAACAGGAUUAGAUACCCUGGUAGUCCACGCCGUAAACGAUGUCGACUUGGAGGUUGUGCCCUUGAGGCGUGGCUUCCGGAGCUAACGCGUUAAGUCGACCGCCUGGGGAGUACGGCCGCAAGGUUAAAACUCAAAUGAAUUGACGGGGGCCCGCACAAGCGGUGGAGCAUGUGGUUUAAUUCGAUGCAACGCGAAGAACCUUACCUGGUCUUGACAUCCACGGAAGUUUUCAGAGAUGAGAAUGUGCCUUCGGGAACCGUGAGACAGGUGCUGCAUGGCUGUCGUCAGCUCGUGUUGUGAAAUGUUGGGUUAAGUCCCGCAACGAGCGCAACCCUUAUCCUUUGUUGCCAGCGGUCCGGCCGGGAACUCAAAGGAGACUGCCAGUGAUAAACUGGAGGAAGGUGGGGAUGACGUCAAGUCAUCAUGGCCCUUACGACCAGGGCUACACACGUGCUACAAUGGCGCAUACAAAGAGAAGCGACCUCGCGAGAGCAAGCGGACCUCAUAAAGUGCGUCGUAGUCCGGAUUGGAGUCUGCAACU
rnacentral:rRNA from 1 species